rnacentral:lncRNA from 1 species
UGCACGAACUCCUUGGGGCUGAUGAGGUGUCCAUCAAACUGCACACACUUCACAUUGAUCCCGGGGCACACGAACUUCCUCCAGAUGAGGUUGGCUUUGCUGUCCCCACAGGUGAUGGGGUACACGAUCUCUGCCUCCAAGCUGUCCUCGUCUUCAGCCAUCUUCACUAGCACUGCUUCCUUCAGGUGUGUGGAUGCUGUGAAGGCGGCAGCGGCCGCAGCAGCUGCGUUUUCUGUCUCCAGAGUGUCCUCAUUUAUGUCACCGCCAUGCUGGGACAGAUUGGUGGUGACCAGCACCGUCUUCACCUCCUCCACCCCACUGCCAUCCACUGCUGUGUCCGGCGUCGUCACCACCACCACCUCUUCCAUGUGCACACUGACGUCCGGCGUGGCCAUGGCGGGGCCGUGGGAGCAGCGCUCUCAGGCCGAGGCCCCGCGGCCCCGCUCGCUGCGGCUCCGGGGGCUGCGGCGGGGGCUGAGCCGGGCCGGGUGCGGGGCGGCGGGUGCGGGGCCGGGCGCUGGGCUGGGGGCUGCGGGGCUCCGCCGCGCGCGCGGCUCUCGGGCCCCCCCCCACCCCGGCUCGCGGCGCGCAGCGCGCAGGCGCACGGCCCCGGCUCGGCUCUCGGGACUUAUUUGGCGCAGCGCCGCGGCCCGAGCUGCCUGCGAAAUAAGUGGCGGGGAGGCGCAGUGCGCGUGCGCGGCUGGGGGCGCUCGGGGGCAGCCGGGGGCACGGCGCGCGCCGCCGCCUGUAGGGUGCAUCGCGCACCGGGAGCGCGCUGCGGAGUGCCCCGGCUUUGCUGCUUUGUGCUUUUGCGGCUUUGCGUGUUUCUCCCUGCUCCUUUGCCGGCCUUGCGUGUCCCUUCCGGCCUGCCGUGUGUUUCCUCCUCCCUCUCCGUUCCUCUCCUGACCCCUCGUGUGUUCCCCCCUGUGCUCAUUUGCACGCACCGUGCAUGCUUCUCAGGCCUCGUGCAUGCCCCCGGGCCGUGCGUGACCCCUGGGAGCCAUGCAUGUACCCAGACUCCUGCAUGCACGCACUGCGCGUGCUGCCAUUGCUCCCAAAUGCAGCCAGCCUCAUGCAUACCCCCCACCUCAGGGCAUGGUGUGCACGGGGAGUGUAUGCACCCAAGCCAAGUGUAGUGGGGUGCCGGGCAUAUCUGUCUUCAUCCCUCCCCAGUGAGGCAUGUGCAUGCACUUCCAUGCAUUCAUUCCGUUCAGGAGUGCAGAGCAGUGCUUAUGCAUGGAUUUUCCACCCUAAGCGGUGCAGCCAGCAGGGCAGGGAGGUGGUGCUGCCCCUCUGCUCUGUGCUGUGAGAUCUCACCUGAAGCACUGCAUCCACGAGGGGGAUCUUCAGCACGGGAGAGACGUGGAUAUCUGUUGGAACGCAUCCAGAGAAGGGCCAUAGAAAUGCUCCAAGGGAUUGGAACACCUCCCUACGAGGAUGGGUUGAGAGAGCUGAGGCUGUGCAGAGCUGAGGCUGUGCGGUGUGGAGGGUGGAGGGCUGUAGGGAGACCUGAGAGCAGCCUUCCCAGAUCUAAAGGGGCUGUAAGGAAGGGGACAGAGUCUUUAGCAGAGGCUUUAUGAUAGGACAUGGGGAAAUGGUUUCAAACUGAAAGAGGGGAAAUUUAUACUGGAUAUAGGGAAAAAGUACUCCGUGCAGGGCAUGCAGUGCUUCAGGGGAGACCCCGAGGUGCCACUGGUGAGCUCCUGGUGCCCGGGCUGUGCCUGGCUGCAGGCAGCUGCUUUCCAAUCCUCAUUCCCCGAUGCUCACAGCCCUGCAAGAGCUGUGCCACGGUGCUCAGCCACUGAUCCUGAGCUCUGAAGAAAUAAGUUCUCUUAUGACUGCUCUGCUGUCUUUAUCAGCAGUGCAUUAUCAAACCGGAGGUAGAAAUGUGUGCUUUGCACCUGGAGGAGACAGCGGCCGUGUCUGUAGGAGUGCUUUGUGCAGCUCGGGACACCUCUCCUAUGGGUGUCACCUCCCCAGUGGGUGUCACAGAGUCUCACAGACUCAUAGCAUGGCUUGGCACCAUCCCGUUCCGAUGCUGUGGGCAGGGCUGCCACCCAUCAGAUUUAUUUUGCCCAAAGACUGCCAGAUCACCAGUAGGGACAACUCACCCACCAGACAUCACAAAGCCCCUUUCCAUGGGAACUUCCCUCUGCCAUCAUCCCCUAUGCAAGCCAAUGGCAGAAGUGCAAGAAAGAGAGUGAGUCCGUAGCCUGUGAUCUCCUGGGAAGCAAAAUCUCCCUUUUGCUGCAAGCUCAGCUGGAGCUGAGGGGUCUGCCUUACAGGGGAUGGGCACACGGGCUCUGUUUUACAUAGGACAGAUCACCGUGUUGUUCCAGGACCCCACGCCCACAGCUGCAGAUAGAGAACCUCCGAACACUGAGCUGUGCUGCGUCCCCACUUGGGCUCUUAUCUUCCAAACUGCCAAGGUCACACUGCAAAAAUAGAAUUGCUGUUUGUGGGGAUGGUGGCGUCCUGUGCACGUGGGAAGAGCUGUGGUGUGGCAGCCCCAGCACUGCUCCUACAGAAAUAUGGACAGGGCCCCAAAACACGGGGCACUCCCUAAGGAUGCUGCUUUGGGAAUGUCCCUACAGGGCCAGCAGGGCUGGGGGUGGUGGGCAAUGCCUAUUCUGGUGAAGGACCAUUACGGCAGCAGUGCGGAUUCCUCAGGGCAGCACCUGAGGGAAUCACAAAGGGCUCUGAGCUGAAUGCUGCAGCACUGGGGAUGUUUGGGGAGCAUCUCACCCCGGGGCUCUGUUGGGAUGCUGGGGGGGGCUGUGCUGCCUUUAGGAAACAUUACACAGGAGGUGAGGGUAGGGGAGGGAGCGUUGAAAAGAAAAGAAGCUCACAUGUAUUCCAGAACUGGAUUUAUUGUAUUUGCAAUCAUCUCAUAACGUUUUGCUCGUCCUCUGUUACGCCGCUGCAUGCCCUCACCUCUAAGUGCAGGGCUCAGGGUGGUGCCUGCAGUUGAGCAUUAUAUUACUUUCUUUUCCUCUGAGAAUGGUGAUAAAGGAUGGGUUCAGUUUCUGCAUCUUUCGUACGGGUGCAAAGUACUCAUUUAACAUACAGAGGCUUGGAUUCCGUUUUGUAAAACCCUCGGGUUCGUUUUCUGUUUAAUGCCUUUUAUUGGUAUUCCCACAAUACACACAGGAGCCUUAGAACUCAAACAACCAACUCACGGAGAGAGAUGGGCACACGUGGGGGUCAGACCCACUUUCUUUCCUUCCUUGUCUUUCAUCAUCGCUUCUCUUGCACAACAACCACCUCUGGCUGGGAAUGGAACGUGGGACCCACGGGCAGUGGUGGGUUCUGCUGAUGGGACCCCCAGCCCCUUCUCUGGGGUGUGAGAAACCUCCAGCACCACGAGCACCCAUUCCCUGCCUCACUCCCAGUGGCACAACAGUGCGAGUGCAAACCCCAUUCCAUGGGUGCAAUUCUGCACGCACGCAGUGCUGCAGCGGGGCAGAACCCACACCAAGGAUGCUCACCCCCAGGUAACAGCAUGAACAUCUGCGUGCCAUCCCUGCUGGGUGCCGCAGCCCCGCUCCACAGGGAAGGUGCUCAUCUCUCUCCUUUAGGACUCCUGCUCAUGAGUACAACAUUUCGGAGAAUAAUCAUCAUCAUAGUAAUAAUCAUAGUACUAAAAACAGUAUUUACAACAAGCUCCAGGUCAGAAGUACACACCAAGCAAACACUCAGCACCACAGAGAGCAGGACGGGGUGAACAUCUCGCGGGUACCUUCUCAGAUCCCACCGGCGUGGGACACAGACGUGUGACGGUUUCAACCCUUUCUUACACACAAACAUUUUGCUUAAAUUACUUUUAAAAUUAGGUUUGUUUUUUUCUUUUUUUUUUUUUUUAACUUUUUUUAUUAUUAUUAUUUUCCCCCCCCCUCUCUUUUGAAUUUCUCGUCACUAUAUGGAUGAGGUGAUGCUGGCGGCGGCGCCGCGCUCUACAACGAUGCGUAUCUAAGACAGCUGCUACUAUAAACGGAUCAUUGGCUACUGCUAAGAAAGUCAACCCUCGGUUCCGCUCCGGUUCCCUCUCUGCCCCCAGCGCUCUGCAGUACCCCAGCACUGGGGGGGGGCCCUCCUGCAGGAGCAGAGUUCCCCCCAGCUGCUCUGUGGCUGUGGAGGGGUCGCUCCCGGAUCCUCGGGGUCUUGUGGGGAGAUCAGCACAGAGCUCAGGGCCGCCCCCCAGCAGUGCUGCCCUUUGGCUUUUUGGUGGGUUUUCUUUUCUUUUUUCCCCUUUUUUUUUUUUUUUUUUUUUUUGGUCAUAACCAUUUGUUUUGUGUGUGUAAUUAAAGCACACCUUAGACAGAAAACGUCAGGUCCUAACCGAGCCGGCAGUGCUUUUUGGGGAGGGAUGGAGAGGGAAGCGCACACAGCCUGUGGUGCAAAUCGUGGAGUCAUAGAACGGCUUGGGUUGGAGGGGACCUUAAAGAUCGUCCCCCCGCCGUGGGCUGGUUGCCCUCACCAGGUCAGGCUGCUCAGGGCCCCAUCCGACCUCCAAGGUUGGGGUAUCCUCCUCUGCUGCACGCACAGCACAGGGGACCCCAGCAGCCCACCCCCUGCUUGCUGCCCUCCCCGAAGCACAGCACCAAAGCACUGCACAGGGGAACCCUCAUCACCUCCUGCCCCGAAUCCUACCACAGACCGGGCUGGCUGCUCAGCACUGCAUCCCGUGCACAGUUGGACCCAAUUCCAUGCAAUAUUCUGGAUGCACUGUUUGCUCUCAGCUUUUCAAGGCAGAAGCAGAGUGGGUGUAAGGUCCCACGGGCACAGCCCUGCAGUGCUGGCACUUCAGCUGCCUCCCAAAGCCGUGGCAAUGGCAGCACAGGAAGCCCCAGGCUGGCAGCCACCUGUCUGCAUCACACUGCUGUCACCUGCCACUGUCACACUUGCAUAUCCUCCACUCGUCCCUACCUCCACCAAGAGACAACGUUUGCAUAAAAAUAGGCUUUGAAAAGCUAAAGAUAGCCAAGAAACGAACACGGGAACACCUCCUCACCCUUCCUGCAGAAUUGCUCCUGCUCAGCUCCACCUCAUCCAGCGCUGCUGGUAAGUCCUUAUCCCAAAGCGCUGCCCAGGAGCUCCCUGUCCUCAGCAUCCACUGAGCCACAUCCAUCCUUGGGAAGAGCGACGUCCUCCCUGCCAGCAGGCGGCCUCACCACCGCGUCCCAUCCCUGCGUUCCGAGGGGGUCGUGGAGGGCUGGCAGACUGCAGACUGAGGGCCCUCCUGGGGUUCUGCAGAGCCGAGGUGACAGAGCCCAUGGGGGGCAGGGGGCUCAGCCUGCAGCCACCAGGGAUGGGGACAGGGAUAGGGAUGGGGAUAGAGAUGGGGAGGGAGACAUGAAUGGGGACGGGGAUGGAGUUGUGGACAAGGAUGGGAUUGGGUACAUUCUAUGACACGGCACCAAGCUCUGUGUUGAAACCCUCCCCUAUUUCCACACUGGCUACCAAAGGUCCACCUGAGAUAAGGAUGUUUGCUUCCUGCCUACCCUGGCUGCAGGGAUGGCUGGGAGCCACGUGGCAGUGCCAUGCAGCCGGCCUGACCCUCUCCACUAACACUCUGCUCAUUGCUCUGCUUACAUACAGAAAUGAUCACUCCUUAUUAUUCCGAUACUUAGCUCAGAGCAAACACCAAGAGUAGCAAAAGCCCCCGGAUAAGAAUUCUGUAUCUCCGUGACACUGCUGGUUGCAUUUAUUAAUAUCUCAAUUUUUACACCAGUUUAAGAAAUAUUUCUUUUUCUUUUUUUUUUUUUUAAGAAAAAAAAAAAAAAGGACAAACCCUCCAAAGAAGCUGCUUGGUUGACUGAUCUCUACUUCAUGUGAACUAGCUGCUAUUCUGCUGAGAGGUCCCUACGACCUGUGACUCCCCACAAGCACCGAACGAUUAAGGAUGCAGACAGAGAAGCGUGUUGCUGGGGGACAAACACCAGGGGACGGGGGGGGAUGGAGAACCAAACGCUGCAUCUAGACAAACAAAAUAAAACGUGUCGGUCGGUCGGUUUGU